GAUGUGAUAGUACAUUAGGGUCCGAUCAAGCAGUAACGUGGACAAAUGUUGUGUUCAACAGUCUCUGUCAUGUAAACAGAGUAACGUAUAUGCAUGUAUUAUACAUAUUUGAGUAGGUAUU